rnacentral:rRNA from 1 species
UCAAGCGUCUUAAGGGCAUCUGGUGGAUGCCUUGGCGCGCAGAGGCGAUGAAGGACGUGGCACGCUGCGAUAAGCCAUGGGGAGCUGUGAGCAAGCUUUGAUCCGUGGAUUUCCGAAUGGGGCAACCCACCCGCAAGGGUAUCGUUACCUGAAUUCAUAGGGUGACGAAGCGAACCCGGGGAACUGAAACAUCUCAGUACCCGGAGGAAAGGACAUCAACCGAGACUCCGCUAGUAGUGGCGAGCGAACGCGGACUAGGCCAAUGCCUCAAGUCUUCUAACUGGAACCGUCUGGAAAGUCGGGCCUUAGCGGGUGAUAGCCCCGUACAGGUGUUGAAGGCAUGAGGAUACGAGUAGGGCGGGACACGUGAAAUCCUGUCUGAACAUGGGGGGACCACCCUCCAAGCCUAAGUACUCCUGCGCGACCGAUAGUGCACCAGUACCGUGAGGGAAAGGUGAAAAGCACCCCGACGAGGGGAGUGAAAUAGUACCUGAAACCGGAUGCCUACAAACAGCUGGAGCCCGCAAGGGUGACAGCGUACCUUUUGUAUAAUGGGUCAGCGACUUAAUCUGGCGAGCAAGCCUAAGCCGAUAGGUGUAAGCGAAGCGAAAGCGAGUCUGAACAGGGCGUUCAGUUCGUCGGAUUAGACCCGAAACCGAGUGAUCUAGCCAUGAGCAGGCUGAAGGUGAGGUAACACUCACUGGAGGGCCGAACCCACGUCUGUUGAAAAAGACGGGGAUGACUUGUGGCUAGGGGUGAAAGGCCAAUCAAACUCGGAAAUAGCUGGUUCUCCGCGAAAUCUAUUUAGGUAGAGCGUCGGGCGAAUACUCCAGGGGGUAGAGCACUGGAUGGGCUAGGGGUCCUUACCGGAUUACCAAACCUAACCAAACUCCGAAUACCUGGAAGUACUACCCGGCAGACACACCAUGGGUGCUAACGUCCGUGGUGGAGAGGGAAAAAACCCUGACCGCCGUCUAAGGUCCCUAAAUUGUGGCUAAGUGGGAAAGGAUGUGGGGUCCCCAAAACAACCAGGAGGUUGGCUUAGAAGCAGCCAUCCUUUAAAGAAAGCGUAACAGCUCACUGGUCUAAAUAAGGGGCCCUGCGCCGAAAAUGUACCGGGGCUAAAGCCACAUACCGAAGACGCGGGUGCAUGCUUGCAUGCGCGGUAGCGGAGCGUUCCGUAAGCCUGUGAAGGGCGACCCGUGAGGGCGCCUGGAGGUAUCGGAAGUGAGAAUGCUGACAUGAGUAACGACAAACAGUGUGAGAGACACUGUCGCCGAAAGUCCAAGGGUUCCUGCGCAAUGCUAAUCAGCGCAGGGUUAGCCGGCCCCUAAGGCGAGGGCGAAAGCCGUAGUCGAUGGGAACCAGGUCAAUAUUCCUGGGCCAGUGGAUGGUGACGAAUUCUAGACGUUGUCGGGGAUUAUUGGAUUUUCCCGGCAGCCAAGGAGUUCCAGGAAAUAGCCUCCACAUGAGACCGUACCCUAAACCGACACAGGUGGACUGGUAGAGAAUACCAAGGCGCUUGAGAGAAUGAUGCUGAAGGAACUCGGCAAAUUACCUGCGUAACUUCGGGAUAAGCAGGCCUCGGUCCCGGGCAACCGGAAUCGAGGGGCACAGACCAGGGGGUGGCGACUGUUUACUAAAAACAUAGGGCUCUGCGAAGCCGCAAGGCGACGUAUAGGGUCUGACGCCUGCCCGGUGCCGGAAGGUUAAGGAGAGGGGUGCAAGCUCUGAACCGAAGCCCCGGUAAACGGCGGCCGUAACUAUAACGGUCCUAAGGUAGCGAAAUUCCUUGUCGGGUAAGUUCCGACCUGCACGAAUGGCGUAACGACUUCCCCACUGUCUCCAGCAUCAACUCAGUGAAAUUGAAUUCCCCGUGAAGAUGCGGGGUUCCUGCGGUCAGACGGAAAGACCCUAUGAACCUUUACUACAACUUUGCGCUGGCACUUGUGCCGAUAUGUGUAGGAUAGGUGGAAGACUUUGAAGCCGCGGCGCUAGCCGUGGUGGAGUCACCCUUGAAAUACCACCCUUAUUGACAUGAUUGUCUAACCGCGGCCCGUUAUCCGGGUCCGAGACAGCGCAUGGUGGGUAGUUUGACUUGGGCGGUCGACUCCCAAAGUGUAACGGAAGCGCGCCAAGCUGGGCUCAGUUGGG